AUUACGUGAAAAACAAACAAUAGACGGACCAGUUCUCCGCAGCGCAUUAGAUUUCGGCAGUACGUUGGACGCAAGCAAACAUCAAAACAUGAAAUUACAUAUAAAUCUACGACUAGCACUAACAUUAAAUAAUGAUUCAUGUAUGAUUACGGUUAAGGAAUAUUUUUAUUAAGAUGGCGUCGCCGAAACCAAAACACAUAUGUUCACUGGAAAAAGGUAUACACCGCUACCAUGGUCGAACCGGAUCGCAAACACCGUGGAAAAAUGGUAUUGGGUUUCAGUGAUAACGAUUGUUUUGUUGUAUGAGUAAAUUACUCGGAUAAAAUAUAAAUAUUAUUAAUUUUA